rnacentral:rRNA from 1 species
UACGUAGGGUGCGAGCGUUGUCCGGAAUUAUUGGGCGUAAAGGGCUCGUAGGCGGUUUGUCGCGUCGGGAGUGAAAUCCACUGGCUUAACUGGUGGCUUGCUUUCGAUACGGGCAGACUGGAGGUAUGCAGGGGAGAACGGAAUUCCUGGUGUAGCGGUGGAAUGCGUAGAGAUCCGGAGGAAGACCGGUGGCGAAGGCGGUCUGCUGGGCAGUUUCUGACACUGAUGAGCGACAGCGUGGGGAGCAAACAGG